AGUCGAGCGGGCGGAAGGGGAGCUUGCUCUCUGGAAGCCAGCGGCGGACGGGUGAGUAACACGUGGGCAACCUGCCCGGCAGACCGGGAUAACGCCUGGAAACGGGUGCUAAUACCGGAUAUUCACAAGGGGCGCAUGCACUUUGUGGGAAAGGCGCUAAGGCGCCACUGCCGGAUGGGCCCGCGGCGCAUUAGCUAGUUGGUGGGGUAACGGCCCACCAAGGCGACGAUGCGUAGCCGGCCUGAGAGGGUGGACGGCCACACUGGGACUGAGACACGGCCCAGACUCCUACGGGAGGCAGCAGUAGGGAAUCUUCCACAAUGGGCGGAAGCCUGAUGGAGCAACGCCGCGUGAGUGAAGAAGGCCUUCGGGUUGUAAAGCUCUGUCAUCUGGGACGAAGAUACGGGAGAGGGAAUGCUCCUGUAGUGACGGUACCAGAGGAGGAAGCCACGGCUAACUACGUGCCAGCAGCCGCGGUAAUACGUAGGUGGCGAGCGUUGUCCGGAAUGACUGGGCGUAAAGCGCGCGCAGGCGGCCGCCUAAGUCUGGGGUGAAAUUCCGGGGCUCAACCCUGGGCAUGCCUGAGAUACUGGGUGGCUUGAGCAUCGGA
rnacentral:rRNA from 1 species